rnacentral:lncRNA from 1 species
AUUUUAAUGAGAAAAUAACUGUAUACUUGCAUUGAAUGCCUCACAAUCACUAUAAAACCAAAGCAGGAUAAUAACAUUUAAGUGGUUAACAUACACAGGAAAGCCAGAUACAGAGUAUAAUUUCCAAACACAGUAUUGCUGCUUUUUUCCCCCUCCUCCCCCCAAAAAAGAAAAACAAAGAAAACAUAAUUUGGGUAAAGAGCAACACAAAAUCAAAAUUGGCAGCUUACUGAAUGCUUAAAAUUCAGGAAAUUGGUUCUUUAAACUAAAAUGGAAUAUAUUCACCAUCUCUAACACUUAGGCUACUUUUUUUUCAAUACCUAGUUUAAUUAAAUCCAUUCUUUAGUUGGGAAAAAAAAAAGGUUUAAUUACUCAUCUUCAGAGACAAGAAUCAACACUGUUUUAGUGUUCCUUGUAACGCUUUAUAUAUAUAUGUGUGUGUGUAUAUAUAUGUGGACAUUGAUCUAUAUACGGCUUAUAUGUCAUUGUCUAGGGUGAGCAGCAUGCAUGGGUAUGAAUAGGCAAGUAAAUUGCAUUGUGUCAUCCAAGUAAAACACAGCCUGGCCUCCUGCCACUGACAGACCCUGUUUCCAUAAUUUCUGGAUGAGAAAGCCAAGGCAUGUCAGUAGUUAAUCAGCUCGAGGAAAGUGAACACCUAUAAACACGGCAGAAUGCAAUACUUCCAGAAAGGCUUUUAACAUCUACAGAAUCUAAACAUUUUGUAAGAGGUGAGGUUAACAAGCUUGCGUGCUAUUUGGGGGUGGGGCCGAGCAUCAGAGGCAAAGUUUUUCGUAAGCCUCUUUCUCUCGAUGGAUUAGGCAGGAAUGACUUUCCUCCAGGGGACGGUCCCAUCUUCAGAAAGUUAAAAGGGUCCAGUUGGGAUCCCAGAGCCUAGCACGGUGCUAUGUACAAAGCGGUGGCCCAAGGUUUCUUGAAUGAAUAAAAAACUCAAGAGCACAGAGAAAAUCUGGCUCUCCCAAGUAAACUGUAAUUUACAUUUUAAUGGGAUUAUAUUAGGAUCUUCAGUGAGUGGAGCAAGAAAAUAGACAGCAGUAAUCCGGAAGGCAGCACAGGAGUACUAGCAAAAGUUAAGAGUUGUAGGGGCCACAGUGAAAACAGCUUUGUGACUGUGGGAAAGUCCCAGAAAAAGCAUUUCUUUCCUUAUCCACACACGGAGCAUGGCCCAAGAACCCCCAGCUCUGUAUCUUUAAGCAAUAAGUGCUCUGGUUCAGUCAACUGUGGUCAAAGACCACUUCAUCUGCCUCUAAAGCGAUUCCAUGAAUAGUGUGGCCUCUUAAGCUUUUCUCUUAGCUGUACAUUCUCUUGUCAAAUGCAGGUUUCAUGUAGCACAUGGUUUCCUUCAAAACAGAACAAAAAACUUUAAGGCAAGUCAUAAGGAUGGUCUCCUCUUGUGAAAAACGGGGAAGUUAGUCUAUAUCAUGUCUAUGGUCUCUACCAGAUCCAUGAAUCAGAGAAAACAUGAAGCACAUCACAUUUUUUGUGCAAUCCAUAGAACUAUCCUACUCUCCAGCCAUCCUAACUGCCACUGUGCCUGGGGCUGUGCAAUGCUACUGCCUCCUCUGUUCUUAUCCCUGUGUCUGCUUUGGGAAUGCCCCCUAUUGCUGGGUUCUCAGCCCAGGCAUCUGGGACCUCUGGCUGGAAAUCCUCAGGUAAAGACGAUCCUCCUUCCUGGGUCCUCCCAUUUCAUGUCGGGACUUCUAAUCUAACACGGAUCUCAUUUUCCUGAGAAUGUUAGUCUCCAUGCCAGCCUCCCUCACUAUAAAAUGAAUUUCUUGCAACAGGGAUCUUACUUGUUUUGUGACCCCAGCGGCUAGCACAUUUUGUUGAGAAUUCAUUCAAAAUAUUCAGGAGAACAAACCAUAUAAAGAUGGUGCCAAUUGCCCAUGUGCUCUUUUGGCUGCCAUCUGUAGAAUGUGGCUUCAAGUUACUGGUUCCCUUGGCAGUUUUAAAAGAUCCUUGUUAGUAGAUGGUUCCAUUUUUUACUUUGUGCCUACUUCUCAUCUGUGAAUACAUGUCCCCCCCAGAGUCAACACUAGUCUAAUAAAAGAAGGAAAUGUGCAUUAACAUCUACAUACAAAUUUUGUGAAAUUGCUACUUGUUAGAAUAACACACUAGAGCUUAUGACAUAAUAUAAAAACAAAAAUGAUUUUUAGUGAGGUCUGACUUAAUUAUUGCUUUUUUUAAAAACCACAGUUUUAAAACAAAGGAGAAAAAAAGAAAAAAAAAAAAAAAGAAGGCUGGUUGUUUUUUUUUUCUCAAGGCCAGAACUGAAAAUUUUCUCAUCCAGAAAUUUAGGGCACCCAAUUAUUGAAUACCCUUAUCAUAUUGCUUUAAAUGACAGAAAGAUUAAAGCUGGCAUCCUCUAUAGUAUACUAAGCAUGAAUAUAAAGCAUGAGAAUAAAUAGGAGACUUUCCUAAAUGUCAAAUUACAAAACUGCUCAAAACUUUGCAAUUGUGACUCAUGCAAAUACCUUGUUAGGUCAAUUUAAUAUUACAAAUACUGCAUCAGCUCGGUGCCUUUAUAUCCCUUUUCAUAAAAAAGAAAUUCUCACUCCACUCCUGAAGCCAGCAAACAGCUUUGGAGGAAUUACCUGUACACCCAAGUGCCAUGGUCACUCUGGAAUUUUAAUCCACAUACAUACACACAUACACCCUUACUCCUGAACAUACGCAUUUUACACAAACACACAAUG